AAUAUUGUGUCCUAAAUCAUUCCCGAACUCGUAAAAUCUUAUUCGAUUCCAGGUUCGACGAUUUAAGAAGUUAAUUGGAAAGGCUGAGGAUGGUUCUUGUCUGGACCAUAUUGUUCCGUCCAGUCAAAUUGAAGCACUCAAUACUACCUACCAAUCACCACUGACAAAAUACAAGGAGAUAAUUUCGAAGACACGAAAGAAACCCAAGAAUUAGAAUCUUCUUAGCUGAGCAUAGUGAAUGGAAAAAAAAAUAUUUAAUAGGAAUAGCAGCUUAUUCACGAACACGUAAGGGAAAAGCAUGUUAGCUUC